CCCGCCCGCGCCAGCCGCGAGCCUCAAGCAGGUCUCCAGCCUCUGCUAGACCCACUGAGGCCGGGAAAGGAAGAGGACUGCCCCCGGGUCGCCGGCUCGGCAGUAGGAGACAGGCAGGCUCCACGCCUCCGCCGAACGUCCCGGGCUCCCGGCCCUGCCCUUUCUCCCCGCCUGCGACCGCGACCCUCUGUGGCCUGGGCGCCCAGUGCCCCUCCCCCAGACACACCUGCGCGCACACACCUCCACGAACGGGCCCCGCGCUCACACCCGCGCUCGCAGCUGCACGGUAGCACCCUGUGCACACGGGCACACGUUCACAUCCUCAUCCGAGGACGAGGACAGUCCUUGUCUGAGCCGCGGGGUGGCGGGGACGUGGUGGGCGUGGGGCAGGACGGCCCGUGGCCUCACUACCUGCCAGCUGUGCCACCUUGGGCACAGUGCUUAGUUUCUAGCGCUCCGGUUCCCUCAUCCGAAGAAUGGGAAGAAGCAUGCAUGCGUGGCUCAUAGGGUGCAAAGCCUGACUCUUGGGCAGGCAUCUUUGGCUGUUUUUCUCCCCAAUGCCCAGAGCAGCGUCUGUACGUUGCCGGCACGGAACAUCGGAAUGAAGAAAUGAAUAGAUGAGUUUUCACUGUUCUGGCCCGGAUCUCUGAGCACCAUCGUCUCUCACCUGGAUUAUUACUCAGCAGCCUCGUGCCUCGUCUCCUGGCUCCCACCUGCCCUCUCCAGUCCAUAUACAGCCUUCCCCGGCCCCAGAUAUGGUUGUUCCUUGGAGCCUGACUUCAAGGACUAUUUUUCCCGCUGGUGUACAUUCCCCAGUGCCCGAAGCAGAGGGAACACUCAAAUAUUUGUUGAGUGAAUGAAAAGGAAAUGCUAGUGGAUUUGCAGAAACGUCCAGGGGGACCAAGGCUCAGGGGCCCCGGAUACAAAAAUCAAGCUUGGCCUACGCAAG